rnacentral:rRNA from 1 species
GACGAACCGUGCGAACGUUGUUCGGAAUCACUGGGCUUAAAGGGCGCGUAGGCGGGCUGACAAGUCUGGGGUGAAAUACCACGGCUCAACCGUGGAACUGCCUCAGAUACUGUCGGCCUCGAGGGAGGUAGGGGCGUGCGGAACUGUAGGUGGAGCGGUGAAAUGCGUUGAUAUCUACAGGAACUCCGGUGGCGAAAGCGGCGCGCUGGACCUCUCUGACGCUGAGGCGCGAAAGCUAGGGGAGCAAACGGG